AAGAUGUCUUGCUAUGGUUCUUGUUGUAGUUUAAAUUAGAAAAGUUUGGCAGGUGCAAGGAAAGAUGUGGAAGUUCACGUUGAGAUAGGUGUUGUCAAGCGUAGGAAUGAAAGAUUUUUGAAUGUUUACUUCUAGUACCAUGCAAGAGGUGAUGUUAUUUUCAUGUAAGGCUCUAAUAGAAGCUUCAAAAGUGGGACUGAAUGUGAAGAGUACUUUAUAUAUUGAUAUCCAUAUUUGCAUUUGCUGAUUGUAGUUUUGUGAAGAUAAUUCAUACAACACUUUG
rnacentral:misc_RNA from 1 species